GACGAACCACCCAAACGUUAUUCGGAAUUACUGGGCUUAAAGGGUGCGUAGGCGGUGCGGAAAGUUGGGUGUGAAAUACCUCAGCUUAACUGAGGAAUGGCGCUCAAAACUACCGUGCUCGAGGGAGAUAGAGGUGAGCGGAACUUAGGGUGGAGCGGUGAAAUGCGUUGAUAUCCUAAGGAACACCGGUGGCGAAAGCGGCUCACUGGAUCUCUUCUGACGCUGAUGCACGAAAGCUAGGGGAGCAAACGGG
rnacentral:rRNA from 1 species